rnacentral:rRNA from 1 species
AUUGAACGCUGGCGGCAUGCCUUACACAUGCAAGUCGAACGGCAGCACGGGUGCUUGCACCUGGUGGCGAGUGGCGAACGGGUGAGUAAUACAUCGGAACAUGUCCUGUAGUGGGGGAUAGCCCGGCGAAAGCCGGAUUAAUACCGCAUACGAUCUACGGAUGAAAGCGGGGGACCUUCGGGCCUCGCGCUAUAGGGUUGGCCGAUGGCUGAUUAGCUAGUUGGUGGGGUAAAGGCCUACCAAGGCGACGAUCAGUAGCUGUUCUGAGAGGACGACCAGCCACACUGGGACUGAGACACGGCCCAGACUCCUACGGGAGGCAGCAGUGGGGAAUUUUGGACAAUGGGCGAAAGCCUGAUCCAGCAAUGCCGCGUGUGUGAAGAAGGCCUUCGGGUUGUAAAGCACUUUUGUCCGGAAAGAAAUCCUUGGCCCUAAGACGGUCGGGGGAUGACGGUACCGGAAGAAUAAGCACCGGCUAACUACGU